rnacentral:rRNA from 1 species
GGAGUUUGGACCGUGUCUCAGUUCCAAUGUGGGGGACCUUCCUCUCAGAACCCCUACUGAUCGAUGGCUCGGUGGGCCGUUACCCCGCCGACUACCUAAUCAGACGCAUCCCCAUCCCAUAGCGGUGAACCUUUGUUCCGAAUCAGAUGUCAUCCUCGGAAUACAUAGGGUAUUAAUCCGCAUUUCUACGGGCUAUGCCCUACUAUGGGGAAGGUUGGAUACGCGUUACUCACCCGUUCGCCACUAGGAUUCUGCCGAAACAAAAUCCCCGUUCGACUUGCAUGUGUUAGGCACGCCGCCAGCGUUCGUC